rnacentral:rRNA from 1 species
UACGUAGGGGGCAAGCGUUGUCCGGAAUCAUUGGGCGUAAAGCGCGUGUAGGCGGCUCGAUAAGUCUGCUGUGAAAGUCCAGGGCUCAACCCUGGGAUGCCGGUGGAUACUGUCGAGCUCGAGUCCGGAAGAGGCGAGUGGAAUUCCUGGUGUAGCGGUGAAAUGCGCAGAUAUCAGGAGGAACACCAAUGGCGAAGGCAGCUCGCUGGGACGUGACUGACGCUGAGGCGCGAAAGCUAGGGGAGCAAACAGG